rnacentral:rRNA from 1 species
GUAAGUGUUUAAGGGCGCAUGGUGGAUGCCUUGGCAUCGAGAGCCGAUGAAGGACGUGGGAGGCUGCGAUAUGCCUCGGGGAGCUGUCAACCGAGCAUUGAUCCGAGGAUUUCCGAAUGGGGAAACCCAGCACGAGUGAUGUCGUGUUACCCGUAUCUGAAUAUAUAGGGUGCGGGAGGUAACGCGGGGAAGUGAAACAUCUCAGUACCCGUAGGAGAAGAAAACAAUUGUGAUUCCGUCAGUAGUGGCGAGCGAACGCGGAACAGGCUAAACCGCACGCAUGUAUAACCGGGUAGGGGUUGUGUGCGCGGUGUUGUGGGAGUGAUAUGUCUCAGCUCUACCUGGCUGAGGGGUAGUCAGAAAGUGUCGUGGUUAGCAGAAAUGGCCUGGGAUGGUCUGCCGUAGACGGUGAGAGCCCGGUACGCGAAAACCCGACACCUACCUUGUAUCAGUUCCCGAGUAGCAGCGGGCCCGUGGAAUCUGCUGUGAAUCUGCCGGGACCACCCGGUAAGCCUAAAUACUUCUCGAUGACCGAUAGCGGAUUAGUACCGUGAGGGAAUGGUGAAAAGUACCCCGGGAGGGGAGUGAAAUAGUACCUGAAACCGUGUGCCUACAAUCCGUCAAAGCCUCCUCGUGGGGUGAUGGCGUGCCUUUUGAAGAAUGAGCCUGCGAGUCAGGGACACGUCGCGAGGUUAACCCGUGCGGGGUAGCCGCAGCGAAAGCGAGUCUGAAUAGGGCGCAUCCCCUUUGGGGUGUAGUGGCGUGUUCUGGACCCGAAGCGGAGUGAUCUACCCAUGGCCAGGGUGAAGCGCGGGUAAGACCGCGUGGAGGCCCGAACCCACUUAGGUUGAAGACUGAGGGGAUGAGCUGUGGGUAGGGGUGAAAGGCCAAUCAAACUCCGUGAUAGCUGGUUCUCCCCGAAAUGCAUUUAGGUGCAGCGUUGCGUGGUUCACCACGGAGGUAGAGCUACUGGAUGGCCGAUGGGCCCUACUAGGUUACUGACGUCAGCCAAACUCCGAAUGCCGUGGUGUAAAGCGUGGCAGUGAGACGGCGGGGGAUAAGCUCCGUACGUCGAAAGGGAAACAGCCCAGAUCGCCGGCUAAGGCCCCUAAGCGUGUGCUAAGUGGAAAAGGAUGUGUAGUCGCAGAGACAACCAGGAGGUUGGCUUAGAAGCAGCCACCCUUGAAAGAGUGCGUAAUAGCUCACUGGUCAAGUGAUUAUGCGCCGAUAAUGUAGCGGGGCUCAAGCACACCGCCGAAGCCGCGGCACAUUCACUUUUACGGUGAGUGUGGGUAGGGGAGCGUCCCUCAUUCAGCGAAGCCUCCGGGUAACCGGUGGUGGAGGGUGGGGGAGUGAGAAUGCAGGCAUGAGUAGCGAUAAGGCAAGUGAGAACCUUGCCCGCCGUAAGACCAAGGGUUCCUGGGCCAGGCCAGUCCGCCCAGGGUGAGUCGGGACCUAAGGCGAGGCCGACAGGCGUAGUCGAUGGACAACGGGUUGAUAUUCCCGUACCCGUGUAUAGGCGUCCCUGAUGAAUCAGCGGUACUAACCACCCAAAACCGGAUCGACCAUUCCCCUUCGGGGGCAUGGAGUUUCGGGGCUGCGUGGGACCUUCGCUGGUAGUAGUCAAGCGAUGGGGUGACGCAGGAAGGUAGCCGUACCAGUCAGUGGUAAUACUGGAGCAAGCCCGUAGGGAGAGCGAUAGGCAAAUCCGUCGCUCAUUAAUCCCGAGAGGUGAUGCAUAGCCGAUUGAGGCGAAUUCGGUGAUCCUCUGCUGCCAAGAAAAGCCUCUAGCGAGCACAUACACGGCCCGUACCCCAAACCAACACAGGUGGUCAGGUAGAGAAUACCAAGGCGUACGAGAUAACUAUGGUUAAGGAACUCGGCAAAAUGCCCCCGUAACUUCGGGAGAAGGGGGGCCGGAAUACCGUGAACACCCUUGCGGUGGGAGCGGGAUUCGGCCGCAGAAACCAGUGGGUAGCGACUGUUUACUAAAAACACAGGUCCGUGCGAAGUCGCAAGACGAUGUAUACGGACUGACGCCUGCCCGGUGCUGGAAGGUUAAGAGGACCCGUUAACCGUAAGGUGAAGCGGAGAAUUUAAGCCCCAGUAAACGGCGGUGGUAACUAUAACCAUCCUAAGGUAGCGAAAUUCCUUGUCGGGUAAGUUCCGACCUGCACGAAUGGCGUAACGACUUCCCAACUGUCUCAACCAUAGACUCGGCGAAAUUGCACUACGAGUAAAGAUGCUCGUUACGCGCGGCAGGACGAAAAGACCCCGGGACCUUCACUACAACUUGGUAUUGGUGUUCGGUACGGUUUGUGUAGGAUAGGUGGGAGACUGUGAAGUACAGGCGCCAGUUUGUAUGGAGUCGUUGUUGAAAUACCACUCUGAUCGUAUUGGACACCUAACGUCGAACCCUUAUCGGGUUCACGGACAGUGCCUGGCGGGUAGUUUAACUGGGGCGGUUGCCUCCUAAAAUGUAACGGAGGCGCCCAAAGGUUCCCUCAACCUGGACGGCAAUCAGGUGUUGAGUGUAAGUGCACAAGGGAGCUUGACUGUGAGACUUACAAGUCAAGCAGGGACGAAAGUCGGGACUAGUGAUCCGGCACCUCUGAGUGGAAGGGGUGUCGCUCAACGGAUAAAAGGUACCCCGGGGAUAACAGGCUGAUCUUCCCCAAGAGUCCAUAUCGACGGGAUGGUUUGGCACCUCGAUGUCGGCUCGUCGCAUCCUGGGGCUGGAGCAGGUCCCAAGGGUUGGGCUGUUCGCCCAUUAAAGCGGCACGCGAGCUGGGUUUAGAACGUCGUGAGACAGUUCGGUCUCUAUCCGCCGCGCGCGUCAGAAACUUGAGGAAACCUGUCCCUAGUACGAGAGGACCGGGACGGACGAACCUCUGGUAUACCAGUUGUCCCACCAGGGGCACGGCUGGAUAGCCACGUUCGGACAGGAUAACCGCUGAAAGCAUCUAAGCGGGAAACCUUCUCCAAGAUCAGGUUUCUCACCCUUUUAGAGGGAUAAGGCCCCCCGCAGACCACGGGUUCGAUAGGCCAGACCUGGAAGCCCAGUAAUGGGUGCAGGGAACUGGCACUAACCGGCCGAAAACUUACCAACACACAA